rnacentral:rRNA from 1 species
UACGUGGGGUGCAGGCGUUAAUCGGAAUUACUGGGCGUAAAGCGCGCGUAGGCGGACCUGCAAGUCGGGGGUGAAAGCCCGAGGCUCAACCUCGGAACUGCCUUCGAUACUGCGGGUCUCGAGUCCGGGAGAGGUGAGUGGAAUUCCUAGUGUAGAGGUGAAAUCCGUAGAUAUCAGGAGGAACACCAGCGGCGAAGGCGGCUUUCUGGACGAUAACUGACGCUGAGACGCGAAAGCGUGGGGAGCAAACAGG